UUUUGAAGUCUAACAUUGACGUAAACAUAAGAAAUCAUUAAUUCAUCUCAGAACAAUGACAAGCAAUUCACCUAAUAUUAAUUGAAGUGAAGCCCAAGAAAUCUUCGACCAGCAAGGGAUGCUUUAUUUCUGAAGAUUUAUCGGUAUCUGUGCUGCUGAUCUAUAAAACUGUGUCCAAUAAAGGGGAAUUUAAUUAAAAAGAUAACGAGCGAGCUUUACGGAGGCAAGAUUAAAGGAGUAAUUUCUGGGCGAAACGCGGAAACGACAGGAAUGCAAUAGACACUGAUAAGAAGCUGUGGAAGUUAACGAGCUGUAUAUGAAAUAUAAUUGCUUCUUCAGUAA